ensembl:lncRNA
GUGCUCCCUAGGGGAAAGUUAAGUCCAUGGGGUCUCAAAGAGUCGGACACGACUGAGCGACUAAAUACUUUUACUUUUGCAAAUGAUUUACUACCUAUUUUUUGAAACAAAAAUGACCUCAGAAGCCAAGGGCUAAGUCUGUCCCAAGGAAAUUCUCAAAAGAACUAAGAAAUAUAAGUUAUCAACUACAUUCUAAUGAGCCAAAUAAAGAAUGUACAUACUUCUGAGAAAGGAAGACUAAAAAAUGAUUCAGGAAAGUUAGCAGCGUCAAAGCCUGUCAGAAUGUCUUUCUCAUGAAGAUGAAUGUUCUUUAUUUGUGAUGGGGUGGGGGAGCCCUGGGCCAGGACCUGCGGGCCCCCCCCCCCGCCCCCGCUCCCCAGUCAGGCAGUUUGCAGCUUCCCUGUCCCCUCCCUCCCUCACCACGUCUGUACAUUGUCAGCCAACUGGAUCAGGCAGAGUGAAACUCGGUAUUGGGCGCAGUGCAACUUUGGAAUCAUCUGGAAGCUUUAAAAAAGACUGAUGCUGGGCCGCAGCCCUAGAGAUUUGGAUAUAAUUAGUGGGCAGCCCCUCCUUAUACCUCCACUCCCCUUCCUUUCCUGCCUCCCCCCAUCUCCACCUUGACAAUCAUAUUUCCCAAGGUCCAAGCUCACUCUCAAGGGGCAACUGAUUCUUAUUUUUGGAAGAUUUCUUAUAAUUUCUGUUUUCUGGUCCAGCUCACAGCCAACAGGCAGGCACAGGGAUCAGAGGGAGAAAUAAGUCCUUUAAUCUCAAUAGCACCCGGGGGGGAGCCACUAGGGCAAGCAGGCGAACUCAAAACUAAAAAUCAGAUCCGUGUCAGAGUGGGUCACAACUAAGAACAUGACAGUGCAGAACAAAGUCAUUCCUGAGAAUGGAGUUUCUAACAGUUCAUGGCUGUCCCCUCUCCCCCAUGCAUGCUUCACUGACCUAUGAAGUGAAGUUAAUUAAUUUUAUUUUGAAUUUUUGCUAAGAGCUCAUUGUCCAUGAUGAGGGUGUACAUGUCAUUUACUGUCUCAGGAAAGUGCUCUUGUCCAGUGACUGUAAACCCAUCCCUUGCCAGUCCUCCACUCUUCUCUGUGAAAGACAGCCAACCCUGAGAUGCAUCAGUGCUACUCGGCAAAGCUGUGACUCCUCUCUUCUUUGGAACAUCCAGCAGGGCUGCUUAGGGGAAUAAACUGGGUGAGGAAGGUUGUCCGGGUCUUGAAAGUCAGCAGAAGAGUUUGGUUUGUCAGUGGAUGGAAAUGUAGGUUCUUGAACAGAAGAGAGGAGCUAUGAAAAGACGGAGGGCUCCGUGGAGAAACUGGACCUGGGCUGUAAAUUGGAUUUAGGCAGGCAUGGCCUCAGGCCAGGCUCACAGGAGCAGAGAGAAUGAACAGUGAAUACACCUAUUGUGUGGGCUCCCAGUAGGUGGCGCUAUUGGUAAAGAACCCGCCUGCCAAUGCAGGAAACCUAAGAGACAGGUUCGAUCCCUGGGUUGGGAAGAUCCCCUGAAAAAGGAAUAGCAACCCACCGCAGUAUUCUUGCCUGGAGAAUCCCCAUGGACGGAGGAGCCUGGUGGGCUGCAGUCCAUAGGGUUGCACAGAGUUGGACAUGACUGAAGCGACUUAGCACACACACACACCUACUGUGCACCCACCUGCCCUUUGCUCAGAUGGAAAAGUGGAAAUCCCUUCAGAAUAUGAUUUCACUUUUCUUCUGCUGGAUGCUGUGGCCUAAAGAUGGAAACGCCAAGGUAGGUUGUGGUCAUGACCUCUGCCCUGGAAGAGUCCGCAAAGGCGACUGAGGAGGCCUGGAGGACAUGGCCUGUCCAGAGGCCCUGGGGCCAGCAGCCCAGGGGGAACAGAAGCAAAGUCAGGAGACCUCAUUUACUCAGGUGCUAAGAAAGGCUCACCUUUCAAAGCCCUCCAGUUGCUUUUACAUUUUAACAAGGAGGGCAGAGUUGACAAAUCAUUGAGCAGGCACUAAUCAUUUUGUGGCUCAUGUAUCUCCCCAGCGAAUACUUUUCAACACAAGCGUUUACAUUUGCAGAGAAUAAAGACUUGUAAAAAGACUGUUGGAGUUUAUGGCUGCAGGAAACCGGCUCCCAGUUUGCUCUGCUGACAAGUUUAUAAGGCCAAGGAAGUUCAUAAGGUCUCUCCUGUGUGUGUAUGUGUGUGUGUUAGUCACUCUGUCGUGUCCGACUCUUUGCAACCCC